CUCAGGACGAACGCUGGCGGCGUGCUUAACACAUGCAAGUCGAACGGUAAGGCCUUCGGGUACACGAGUGGCGAACGGGUGAGUAACACGUGGGUGAUCUGCCCUGCACUUCGGGAUAAGCUUGGGAAACUGGGUCUAAUACCGGAUAGGAUCACAUGCUUCAUGGUGUGUGGUGGAAAGCUUUUGCGGUGUGGGAUGGGCCCGCGGCCUAUCAGCUUGUUGGUGGGGUAAUGGCCUACCAAGGCGACGACGGGUAGCCGGCCUGAGAGGGUGACCGGCCACACUGGGACUGAGAUACGGCCCAGACUCCUACGGGAGGCAGCAGUGGGGAAUAUUGCACAAUGGGCGCAAGCCUGAUGCAGCGACGCCGCGUGAGGGAUGACGGCCUUCGGGUUGUAAACCUCUUUCAGUAGGGACGAAGCGCAAGUGACGGUACCUAUAGAAGAAGGACCGGCCAACUACGUGCCAGCAGCCGCGGUAAUACGUAGGGUCCGAGCGUUGUCCGGAAUUACUGGGCGUAAAGAGCUCGUAGGUGGUUUGUCGCGUUGUUCGUGAAAACUCACAGCUUAACUGUGGGCGUGCGGGCGAUACGGGCAGACUGGAGUACUGCAGGGGAGACUGGAAUUCCUGGUGUAGCGGUGGAAUGCGCAGAUAUCAGGAGGAACACCGGUGGCGAAGGCGGGUCUCUGGGCAGUAACUGACGCUGAGGAGCGAAAGCGUGGGGAGCGAACAGGAUUAGAUACCCUGGUAGUCCACGCCGUAAACGGUGGGUACUAGGUGUGGGUUUCCUUCCUUGGGAUCCGUGCCGUAGCUAACGCA
rnacentral:rRNA from 1 species